GGGUAACGGAGUGUCAUCGCUUCGCGAAAAUGACAGCAAGUGCGACACAUAACCCUAAGUUUGCUUAUCAACAAACAAUUACAUUGCAUUUAUGUAGGUCGUCUGAAGACGUGUUUCUGCACAAUGUUGGCCAAGACCGGACUUUUAAUAGUGUCCAACCCGAAGCACAUAAAUAAGUUGCUUAGUAACGUGAAGGAAACGGUAAAACACACCCUUUACAUCCAGCUGCUCACGGCCCUAAAUGAGCCUCUAGGAAGCUUCUAUUCUCAUAUGUUUAACACACCUCCAAAGCUCAGCAGAACGAUAUUCGGCAUUUAUUCACAGGCAACACGUCAUUGUAACAAUUUAGAUGUUCGUGUGCUGCUCACAGGGGUGAAAAGCAAUGUGCCCCAAAUAGGCACUCGCAACCCCAUAGACGUGGUUAUAUUUGAUAGGAAAUACUCAAAAGCCGAUAUUGAUAACUUCAUGAAAUGUAAACUAACGAACGUUUCAAAGCAACAUCGCGUUUUAACUGUGGAUUGUGAAAAUGUUGAGGACCCCGAAGUUCAGGAUGAUUCAGCAGAUGACCAGGUUUAUAAACAUGCUUGUCUUGGAGGUACAUUUGACCGACUGCAUGCAGCACACAAGGUGCUUUUAAGUUAUGCAAUUCUUCACGCCUCUGAAAAGGUGACAGUUGGAAUAACUGAAGAAAAUAUGGUUCACAGUAAGUUGCUGUGGGAAUUAAUCCAGGACGUGGACACCCGAAUAGCUAACGUGGAACAAUUCGUUAUGGAUGUAUGCCCGGAAAUUUCAUAUAACAUUUGCAAAAUAUCCGACCCCUUUGGUCCAGCAGUAGUUGACCCUACGAUGGAUGUAAUCGUCGUUAGCGUAGAAACUGUGAGAGGUGGAGAGAAAAUUAAUGAAAUAAGAAAACAGAAGAGCCUAGCUGAGCUAGUGAUCGUCCCAAUUCCUUUUAUCGACGAACCUGACCCGCAAGCUCGCGAGGAAACUAAAGUGAGCUCGAGUAAUCAAAGAUUGAGACUGUUGGGCACCUUGCUAAACCCUUUGGAAAAAAAGAACAUUCCAAACAAACCGUAUGUGAUUGGUUUAACAGGUGGCAUAGCUAGUGGCAAAUCAGGCGUUACGAGCCACUUGAAGAACAUGGGAGUUCCCAUAAUAGAUUGCGAUAAAAUCGGACAUCAAGUUUACCAAAAGAACGCUGCAUGUUACCAGGAAGUUAUCAGUCAGUUUGGAAAGGAAAUUCUCAAUAGUGACGGGGAGAUUGAUAGAAGAGUUUUGGGAAAUUUGGUGUUUGAAAAACCCGCCGAAUUGACUAAAUUAACUGACAUUGUAUGGCCUGCCAUUAAAGAUGAGGUGCAAAGAAUCAUUCGAAAAUCAGAGGCACGGGUGGUGUGUGUCGAAGCAGCGAUUUUGACCAAGGCUGGCUGGGACGCCUUUUGCCAUGAGGUUUGGACUACAUUUGUUCCCGAAAAGGAAGCAAUUGAAAGACUGAAAACCAGAAACAAUUUAACUGAAGAACAAGCGAAAAGCCGCAUGGCUGCGCAACCGUCCAAUAAGGAAAACAUUCAACAAGCCAAUGUCGUGUUCUGCCCUUUGUGGGAAGUCGAGUAUACGAAGAUGCAAGUGGAAAAGGCCUGGGACCUUCUGCAGAUACGAUUAUCUGGCCUGUAAUCAUAUCUAGUCAACGGGUGUUAGAACGGGGAAUUUUAUACAGUUUACUUAGCGUGUAGAUACGAGAUUUAAUGUUUAUAAUUGCCUUAUCCAAGAUGAAUUCAAAGACUAGUUAUUUUCUACUAAGAUAUGUAUUACAUAAACCAAUACGAUUAACAGCGAC